UCCGUUAUGGUCUAGGUAAGCACCACCACCCUUCACACCCACCAACACCCGACAUCGACUAACAAUUCAAAGUGGCUAGGAUACAUCGCUCUCAUCUUCGGACAGUGCCGAUGUGGCCGGGGUUCGAUUCCCCGUGACGGAA